CCUACGGGUGGCAGCAGUGAGGAAUAUUGGUCAAUGGGCGCGAGCCUGAACCAGCCAAGUAGCGUGAAGGAUGACUGCCCUACGGGUUGUAAACUUCUUUUAUAAAGGAAUAAAGUGAGGCACGUGUGCCUUUUUGUAUGUACUUUAUGAAUAAGGAUCGGCUAACUCCGUGCCAGCAGCCGCGGUAAUACGGAGGAUCCGAGCGUUAUCCGGAUUUAUUUGGUUUAAAGGGAGCGUAGAUGGGUUGUUAAGUCAGUUGUGAAAGUUUGCGGCUCAACCGUAAAAUUGCAGUUGAAACUGGCAGUCUUGAGUACAGUAGAGGUGGGCGGAAUUCGUGGUGUAGCGGUGAAAUGCUUAGAUAUCACGAAGAACUCCGAUUGCGAAGGCAGCUUACUGGACUGCAACUGACACUGAGGCUCGAAAGUGUGGGUAUCAAACAGGAUUAGAUACCCGAGUAGUC
rnacentral:rRNA from 1 species